CCCGAAUAGAGACAUCAUGGCCCUUGCUCAGCUCCUGGGGCUCCUGCUGUUCUCACUCCCAGGUGCCCAAGGUGUCAUCCAGCUGACUCAAUCUCCAUCUUUGUCUGUAUCACUGAGAGGCAGAGUUACCAUCAGUUGUCGGGCCAGUCAGGACAUUAGUUCUUAUUUAAACUGGUAUCAACAGAAACCAGGGAAAGCUCCUAUGCUCAUAAUCUAUGGCGCAACCAAUCUGGAAAGUGGGGUCCCAUCAAGGUUCAGUGGCAGUGGAUCUAGGACAGAUUUCACUCUCACCAUCAGCAGCGUGGAGUCUGAAGACAUUGCAACUUAUUACUGUCAACAUUAUAAAGAGUACCCUCCCACAGUGAUAUAAAUCAUAACAAAAACCCCCAAAGGAAGCCAGAGUUUCAGGUUUGGUACCACAGCUGUUCUUCUGGGCACCUCCAUCUGCUGA